rnacentral:rRNA from 1 species
GUGUCAGCAGCCGCGGUAAUACGUAGGGGGCAAGCGUUGUCCGGAAUCAUUGGGCGUAAAGCGCGUGUAGGCGGCCAGGUAAGUCCGUUCUGAAAGCCCGGGGCUCAACCCCGGGAGGCGGAUGGAUACUGCUUGGCUCGAGUCCGGAAGAGGUGAGUGGAAUUCCCGGUGUAGCGGUGAAAUGCGCAGAUAUCGGGAGGAACACCAAUGGCGAAGGCAGCUCACUGGGACGGUACUGACGCUGAGACGCGAAAGCGUGGGGAGCAAACAGGAUUAGAUACCCCUGUAGUCC